AUUGAACGCUGGCGGAAUGCUUUACACAUGCAAGUCGAACGGCAGCACGGGGGCAGCCCUGGUGGCGAGUGGCGAACGGGUGAGUAAUACAUCGGAACGUGCCCGGUCGUGGGGGAUAACGUAGCGAAAGUUACGCCAAUACCGCAUACGAUCUGAGGAUGAAAGCGGGGGACCUUCGGGCCUCGCGCGAUCGGAGCGGCCGAUGUCAGAUUAGGUAGUUGGUGGGGUAAAGGCCUACCAAGCCGACGAUCUGUAGCUGGUCUGAGAGGACGACCAGCCACACUGGGACUGAGACACGGCCCAGACUCCUACGGGAGGCAGCAGUGGGGAAUUUUGGACAAUGGGCGCAAGCCUGAUCCAGCCAUUCCGCGUGCAGGACGAAGGCCUUCGGGUUGUAAACUGCUUUUGUACGGAACGAAAAGGCUCUGGCUAAUACCUGGGGCUCAUGACGGUACCGUAAGAAUAAGCACCGGCUAACUACGUG
rnacentral:rRNA from 1 species